UGGGGUAUCGCCAAGCGGUAAGGCACCNGGUUUUGAUCUCGGCAUCCCUAGGUUCGAAUCCUAGUACCCCAGCCA
rnacentral:tRNA from 1 species